AUAGCGUAUAUUAAAGUUGUUGCAGUUAAAAAGCUCGUAGUUGAACUUCAGACCUGGUUGGGCGGUCCGCUUAACGGCGUGUACUGUUCGAAUGGGCCUUACUUCUUGGUGAGCCGGCAUGCCCUUCACUGGGUGUGUCGGGGAACCAGGACUUUUACCUUGAGAAAAUUAGAGUGUUCAAAGCAGGCUUAUGCUCGAAUACAUUAGCAUGGAAUAAUAAAAUAGGACGUGCGGUUCUAUUUUGUUGGUUUCUAGAGUCGCCGUAAUGAUUAAUAGGGAUAGUUGGGGGCAUUAGUAUUCAGUUGCUAGAGGUGAAAUUCUUGGAUUUACUGAAGACUAACUACUG
rnacentral:rRNA from 1 species